CUACCACUGAACUGUUUAAUAUUCUAGAAUUUAUGUUACACAGUAAAAGAUAGACAACUCUGUCUGCAGUUCUGGGACUGGGAUAUGCCUGUGCAUACACGCAUCUGCUCUGUUUUGGUUUCACUUCACUUUAGUUAUUUGAUUUGGUGUCUGCAAAACCCUGUGUGCACAUUUUUAUGAUCCUUGGGACAAUUUACUGCCAACCUUGCUUGAACUCUAAAAUAUGCCUCCAGUUUCGGAAAACCACAAAUUAUUUACCAAGGAGGCAAGGAAAUGGAGGUCACUGGGCUCAUUUCUUACAUAAUUUUCAACUUCCUUUCUGAGGCCUGACAUCUCCCGGCAGUCACAGUGAUGUCUUCCUUAGAUGGAUUCAAUAAUGGGGAAGAACAGAUGAAAAGUGGUGAAAGUUGCUAACUGCUGUGUUCCUCUGCUUGCUUUUCAUGCUGUGUGCCAGGAAUCAAAGCUGGAGGAGCGGAAGGUCAAAUACUUCAUGUUGAUCUGUCUUUGGGAUCACUGAGCCAAUCUUCAGCUAUACUGUUCAGCUCAUCUGGAUAUACAGGGAGUCCACGGAGCCUCCCCUGCAAGCAUCAGUACAGAAGUCGAUGAUAAUCUGGAUGCAAGCCCAGGAGUGUGGAGUCCACUGACUCAGAAGACCUGCAUCUAAGGAAUUGGCUGUUCUUAUCCUUAAGAAUGAUGACUGUGUUUCCAAUUCCAGUAGACCCUUUGAUGCGUUCUGAAUAAAUAUUCCUUUUGGAAUUGAACUUCUAGAGCCCUUAACUUUGG
rnacentral:lncRNA from 10 species